UUUAUUUCUCCAGGCUGUAAGAUUAUUUCCAAACAGGACUUUCAUUUUGUUUUUCUUUUCCAGAGUCCAGACGGAGGGUGUUUCUCUCGUCACUUUAGGCUCCCGGCGUGACUCUGCCAAGGGAGGCACCCGCCUUCACCGGGUGACACUUUUGGAUGUACUCGUGGUAUUUCCUGUGACCACUGCUUUGGCUCUUGGCUCAAAGGCACAUAGUGAGGCCGAUGGUUAUAUCCAAAGUCCCCAAAGUCUACUUGGAAAUUUGACUGGCUUAUGGGAUCCAGAGGUGGAGGAUUGUACAGUCAGUGACCUGCCCAGGGUUGGAGGCAGAGCUGAGUGGGACGUGGGUUCUUCUCUCCCAGAUGAGUGCACCUGCGACCUGCUCACCUAGUUCUGUCGUAAGUCGAAUCUCCUAACUACAAGGGGGCGCCACAAUCUGCUGAGGAUCAGGAAACAAUACUUCACGGACACGGACUUUCCUGAACCAGAUUAGCAACAUUAAGUAGCUGGGUGGGCGGCAAGGCCCGUCCUCAUCUGCCACUUUUGUGAUGAAGUCAUGAGGUUUUCUGAUCCGUGGUCCAAUGUGUUGCCAAGAAUCCAAAGACGUUUUCAUUCCAAGAUGAAGGAGGGAAACUGCAGUGGAGUGAGUCUAUUAAGCACUUUCAUCUGACAAUAAAAAUGAGUUAAUGGCUCAAA